UCCUAUGAUGGAGUGACCAACAGGUGGAAGCUGGUUUGGGAUGAAGUUGUCACAUUGGAUCGUUAAGGAGUGGUUUCUGGACUCUGCAGUUUUUUCCACUUGCCGAGGAGCUCUCAAGUGUCUUAUUACGGUGGCCGAGGGGUGCAAACGCAGCACAAAAACGGAACGCCCUGCAAGAGACAAAAACACCCACAAAAAAUAAAUGCUGCUAGAUAGAAAACACCUACAAAAGAGAAAUGCUGCAGGAGACAUAACACCUACCAAAAUGAAACCCACUUCACAACAGAAACGGACUGCAAACAGGAACGCGCUUCACAAGAGAAACGCACGGCAAUCAGGAACGCGCUUGCACCCCUCGGCCACCGUAAAGACCGGACUGUUUUCUUAUUUAUGGACAACAACGAAACACAAGAAGAUCAACCUGUAACACACUGACAAGAACUUCGCAAAAAAAGAAAAAAACAUAUGAGUGAAAGCAGCAGUUCCUCCUUAAGGUCAGAGAUUGCAGCAUCUGAGGGCCUCUUCAAAAGAAGACGUAGUUGAUGAAGGCGUUCUGGAGCAGGACCAGAAAGACCACGACCAAGCAGCCUUGAGUUCUUAGGCAGCGUCUCCCUCGGGUUCCUCUCUAUCUCCCCACACAUCCACCAAGCACUGGAACACAUCUCCAAAGUUCUGCCGGGCCAGCUCAGCUUCCCUUCAGAAGAAGUUCCACCAGAUGAAGGAGCCUUUUGAGAGGCAGCUGGCAUCGUGAUUGGAUUGUACUUUGGUCUGUUCCAAUCCAGCUUCAGCUCCAGAGACGGCAGGCAGGACGAGUCAACGGAGGCCGGGUGGACGAAGGCAUGCAGCUGAGUACAAUCCAGAAAACAACAGAGGAGGAGGAGUGCAAACAGAGUAGCAUGACCAAAGAACUACAGACUCUUCACAACCUGCUCAAACUCUUGGUACAGGACCUCACCACACAGGUCAAGAAGGUUUCCGUCUCAUUUCUACUCUGAAGCUCACCUUCUCCUGCUCAAACUGCUGGCAAAUGUUUCUGCUGCUCUAAAGUCUGGUCUCCAGAACUUCCUAAAAACUCUCAAAGUCUCUUCUGCUGCAGGUUGCUUUGUAGAACUGUUCCAGAAAACCUCACUAAACCACAUGGAGGGGCCUCAAGAUAGUCAUCCAAAUGAAACCGUACAAAAACCAAACUAACACAACCCAAACGCUAAAGUCUCCUGCAACCUAUCAGAGAACCUCUGAGAACAGAGAAUCAGGACAGGAACUCUUACCUUCUGGACAACCAACGUUGCUUCACAAACAAGAAUACAGAAUGUGUCUGACCAAAAACCUCUAAAGACUCACUCCAGACAAGAUAAGACACAACUCAGCUGCAGCAAAUCCACUAAUCACUGCACACAUGAGCACCUAACUGUGGCUAAAGAACCACAUUUACCAAGACAACUAUCCAGCACAAAGCCCUAAAACACACCAAGAAACACAUUAAAGACGAUUUUAUUGCUGGAAGCUGCAAGCCAAUGCCUAAAGAACAAAAGAAAGCAAUGGAGCCAAACCCAGUUCAGUGGUGAAGGAAAACAGAGGAAAUGUUUGUCUGCAGCCCAAUAAAGCAGAAAGACACUGAGCUGCUCAGGUGUUCCUGAUAACACCAAGCAGCCACCUGGACAGCCAAUAGGAACACAGCUUACUGGAAGUCCAGAGGGCUGGCUUAGUCAAGGAAAUUUAGUUUAAAGUUGAGGCAGAAAGAUAACAAAGAAAGUUGAAAACCACCUUCUGAUACCUGAAAUCUCUGAGUUUUCACACAAAGAACACCUGAACAUGUCAAACUGGCUUCAUAGUAGAACCAUCAUUGUAAAAACGUCAUAGUAUGGUGUGUUGCUCAAAAAACAUUAGGACCCGGCUGUCUAGGGUCGCUGAGGAGCAACACAAAAACAGGACAAACGCUGGUUUCCAGGGGGUUAGGAGGCUAUUUAUUUGAAAAGGUAAGUUUACAACAACACAACAUGUGAGCAGAAAAAUCACAAAGUCUGUCUUUAGUUCAGCUGAAAAUAUUAGUUGUCUUUUUUAUUGCCCAAACUUUUCAGGAAGUAGAUGAAGAAUAAUUAAAGCUCUCAUGUAGAAGUCCAACUUAUUUUGUAUCCUUUUGGAGAGUUUAAUCUUAGAGUUUGUAAAGCUGUUGACGUUUUAGAGUCACAUGGAUUGUUUUGAAAUUUAAUA